CACUCACACCACAUGACAGAGGCUUAAUUGGGAUCCUAGAAAUGGAGCAGAAGUGCACUGAAAGCAGAGCAGCAAAUAAGAGGUGGAGGAGCUACAGACUGGCCUAUUUGGUGCAUCCAUAGGCCCCAUCCUUGACUCUUCCUGCUCCAUCCUCCUUGAAUGCUUUUGACUGACUGGAAAUGUCCGUGAACUAUGAUAUUGCCUCUUGCUUGCCUGGAAGGAGGGGAAUGUGCAUAAGAAUCUCUGACUUUUGCAUGACUGGAAUGUGGCCCACUGUACAACGGUAACAACUGCAUCUUUCGCUCCAUCCGCUUUUGCCACUGGUCCCGCUCACCAAUGGCCUGUGGUCCCC